rnacentral:rRNA from 1 species
UACGAAGGUCCCAAGCGUUGUUCGGAAUCACUGGGCGUAAAGGGUGCGUAGGCGGCGUGGUAAGUCAGAUGUGAAAUCCCGAGGCUCAACCUCGGAACUGCAUCCGAUACUGCCAUGCUUGAGGACUGGAGAGGUGACUGGAAUUCUCGGUGUAGCAGUGAAAUGCGUAGAGAUCGAGAGGAACACUCGUGGCGAAAGCGAGUCACUGGACAGUAUCUGACGCUGAUGCACGAAGGCUAGGGGAGCGAAAGGG